UGGAACUGAGACACGGUCCAGACUCCUACGGGAGGCAGCAGUAGGGAAUCUUCCGCAAUGGGCGAAAGCCUGACGGAGCAACGCCGCGUGAGUGAUGAAGGUCUUCGGAUCGUAAAACUCUGUUAUUAGGGAAGAACAUAUGUGUAAGUAACUGUGCACAUCUUGACGGUACCUAAUCAGAAAGCCACGGCUAACUACGUGCCAGCAGCCGCGGUAAUACGUAGGUGGCAAGCGUUAUCCGGAAUUAUUGGGCGUAAAGCGCGCGUAGGCGGUUUUUUAAGUCUGAUGUGAAAGCCCACGGCUCAACC
rnacentral:rRNA from 1 species